GAUGAAUGCUGGCGGCGUGCCUAACACAUGCAAGUCGAGCGGCAGCGAGUUUUACACUGAAUUCUGGAAGCUUCUGGGUAAUGUAGAAGAUUUAUUCAAGAAUUUUGUGUAAAAUGUCGGCGAGCGGCGGACGGCUGAGUAACGCGUAGGAAUUUGCCCCAAAGUGAGGAAUAACUGCCCGAAAGGGUAGCUAAUGCCGCAUAUGGUCUUCGGAUUAAAGCCUUCGGGCGCUUUGGGAGAAGCCUGCGUUGGAUUAGGUAGUUGGUAGGGUAAUGGCCUACCAAGCCGACGAUCCAUAGCUGGUCUGAGAGGAUGAUCAGCCAGACUGGAACUGAGACACGGUCCAGACUCCUACGGGAGGCAGCAGUGAGGAAUCUUCCACAAUGGGCGAAAGCCUGAUGGAGCAACGCCGCGUGAAGGAUGAAGGCCUUCGGGUUGUAAACUUCUUUUAUGAGUGAAGAAUAUGACGGUAACUCAUGAAUAAGCACCGGCUAACUACGUGCCAGCAGCCGCGGUCAUACGUAGGGUGCAAGCAUUAUCCGGAGUGACUGGGCGUAAAGAGUUGCGUAGGCGGUUUAAUAAGUGAAUAGUGAAACCUGGUGGCUCAACCAUACAGACUAUUAUUCAAACUGUUAAACCCGAGAAUGGUAGAGGUAACUGGAAUUUCUAGUGUAGGAGUGAAAUCCGUAGAUAUUAGAAGGAACACCGAUGGCGUAGGCAGGUUACUGGGCCAUUUCUGACGCUAAGGCACGAAAGCGUGGGGAGCGAACCGG
rnacentral:rRNA from 1 species